CCAAUCCACAAGGAAUACCCAAAACCUAGUGUGAAAUUAAAUAAGUAGGAGACCACUACCUGAAGCUGUUUCUGUACUUACAGUUCUUGCAUAAUGUAUUGCAACCUAACUUACUAUGUAAACAAAUUGAAACCUAACUUAGGAGUACCACAGCUGAGGCUCAGCCAAUCAUAGGCAGCCAACUCCUGACACCAUGCCCACAUAAGGCAGAUGCCUAGCUGUAGCCAAUCAGGGGAUUUCCCUACUUUGCUUCCAUGUUCAGCCUAUAAAAGCUCAGCCUGUAGAAUCUUGCUGCUCACACUGCUGGGCAGAGUUCCCUGAACCCCUUCUGGAUCUGAGUGCUGCCCAAUUCAUGAAUUGUUCUUUGCUUAUAUAACUCUGCUAAGUUUAAUUUGUCUGAAGGUUUUCUUUCAACACCAUCUACUCCCACCUUGCUGGUAAUACAGAAACUGCCCCCACAGCUCCAGCUUGCUGUUACCCUGUCCCCAGGCAACCCUCUAUGUGGCCCUGCCUAACAGCUUUCUCUCAUUUGGAAGUAGCAAAGACUGCUGCUUUCAUCUAUCUGAGUUGCACUGGGUUGCAUCCUGCCAUCAAAAGAACCUUUAUAUCAAAACAUGCCUGUGUCAAAACUUACAAAACUGUGUGCUUCUAAUGUGCACAGUUUAUUGUAAGCUGACAAUAAUAUAAAGAAUUGCUACAACUCAGCCACAACAAAAAGCCCCAAAUAACCUGAUUUAAAAAUGAGCAAAGCACUUGAAUAGACAUUUCUUCAAAGAACAUAUACAAAUGGCCAAGAAGCAUAUGAAAAUAUACUUAACAUCGCUUCUCAAGUGAAAUGCAAAUCAAAACCACAAUGAGAUAUUACCUCACACCCAUUGGGAUGGCUACUACCAAAACAACGAUAAUAGAAAAUAAUGAAUGUUGGUGAGGAUGUGGAGAAAUUAGAACCCUUGUGCACUCUUGCGAAUGUAAAAUGGUCCAGCUACUGUGAAAAAGAGUAUGGAGGUUCCUUCAAAACUUAAAAAUAGAGUUACCAUAUGAUCCAGCAAUCCUACUUCUGGGACCCAGAAGAAUUGAAAUCAGGGUCUUGAAGAGAUAUUUGCACAUCUGUGUUCAUCACAUCAUUACUCACAAUAGUAAGAUGUGGAAGCAACCCAGGUGUCUAUGGACUGAUAAAUAAAUAGACAAAACGUGACAUACACAUGCAAGAGAAUGUUAAUCGGUCUUAAAAAAAGAAGGAAAUCCUGUCCCAUGUGACAGCACGGACGAAACUUGAGUGCAUGAUGCUAAGUGAAAUAACCCAGUCACAGGAGGACAAAUACUAUUAUGAUUCUACUUCUAUGAGGAGUCUAAAGUAGCCAAACCCACAGAAACAGAAAGUAGAAUAUGGUGGGUGUCAGCGCCGGGAAGAGGGGGAAUGAGGAGUCCAUGUAUAAUGUAGUUUCAGUUCUGCAAAAUGAAAAAGUUCUAGAGAGCACAACGAUAUGAAUAGAGUUAACACUAUUAAACUGUGGGUCUAAAAAUGAUUAAGAUGGUACAUUUUAUGUUGUGUGUUUAUUACCACAAUUUUUAAAGACUGUGAGGUGAACAGUGUGGUUAUUUUAUUUUUUUUGUUGAGAUGGAGUUUCGCUCUUGUUGCCCAGGCUGGAGUGCAAUGGCAUGAUCUUGGCUCACGGCAACCUCCGCCUCCUGGGUUCAAGUGAUUCUCCUGCCUCAGCCUCCUGAGUAGCUGGGAUUACAGGCAUGCGCCACCAUGCCUGGUUAAUUUUGUAUUUUUAGUAGAGACGGGGUUUCUCCAUAUUGGUCAGGCUGGUCUCAAACUCCCAACCUCAGGUGAUCCACCUGCCUCGGCCUCCCAAAGUGCUGGGAUUACAGGCAUGAGCCACUGCGCCUGGCCUGGUGUGGUUAUUUUUAUCUUCACUUUGCAGAUAUGAAAACUGAGGCUUGGGAAGACUAAGUUACUCUUCCAAGGCCAUUUUUUCACAUAUUGACCAUUUGUGUAUCUUCUUAUGUGGAAUAUCGGCCUGUGGCCCAUAGUUUCAUUGGGUCAUUUGUGUUUCUAAAUUUUAUGUUAUUUCAUGUUAUUUUCAAGUUGUACCAGUGUUUUACAUAUUUUGGAUACAAUUCUUUUGUCAGCUAUAUGUAUUGCACAUAUUUUCUCCCCAGUCUCUCUGUUGCCUGUUAAUUUUCUCGUUACCUGUCUUCUUCUUGCUUUUUUUUUUUUUUUUUUUUGAGAUGGAGUUUCGCUCUUGUUGCCCAGGCUGGAGUGCAGUGGCACAGUCUUGGCUCACUGCAGCCUCCGCAUCCCAGGUUCAAGCAAUUCGCCUGCCUCAGCCUCCCAAGUAGCUGGGAUUACAGGUGCCUGCUACCAUACUCGGCUAAGUUUUUGUAUUUUUGGUAGAGAUGGGGUUUCGCUAUGUUGGCCAGGCUGGUCUUGAACUCCUGACCUCAGGUGAUCUGUCCACCUCAGCCUCCCAAAGUGCUGGGAUUACAGGCAUGAGCCACUGCACCUGGCUGCUUUCUUCUUUUUUUUAGAGGCAGGAUCUCUCUCUGUUGCCCAGGCUAGAGUACAGUGGCGUGAUCACAGCUCAAUGCAGCCUCAAACUCCUGAGCUCAAGUGAUCCUCCUGACUCAGUCUCCCAAGUAACGGAGACUACAGGAGUGCCUGGCUAAUGAAAAAAUUUUUUUGUAGAGACAGGAUCUUGCCAUCUUGCCCAGGCGGGUCUCAAACUCCUGGCUUCAAGCAAUCUUCCUGCCUUGGCUUCCCAAAGUGCUGGGAUUACAGACAUGAGCCACCACACCCAGCCUAAUUUUCUUAAU
rnacentral:lncRNA from 10 species